rnacentral:rRNA from 1 species
CGUCAAAUCAUCAUGCCCCUGAUGACCUGGGCUACACACGUGCUACAAUGGACAGAACAAAGGGCUGCGAGACCGCAAGGUUUAGCCAAUCCCACAAAUCUGUUCUCAGUUCGGAUCGCAGUCUGCAACUCGACUGCGUGAAGCUGGAAUCGCUAGUAAUCGCGGAUCAGCAUGCCGCGGUGAAUACGUUCCCGGGCCUUGUACACACCGCCCGUCACACCACGAGAGUUUGCAACACCCGAAGUCGGU